ACCAGGGAAUGUUGAAAUCAUAACUGGCACUGCUAGUGGACCGAUUGCAUUCUUUGACAAGAAAGAUAAUGUGGUGAUCAUAGCUCCAUUUAGCGAAUUCAUGUCCGCAUCGACGAUGAUGGACAAUUCAACGAAUCCCGAAACGCUUGAUUGGGGAAUUAUGGGCGGCGUGAUGGAAGUUCCAGAAGAUUUCAUGGCUCAGUUUAUGAUAUUCUAUAGUCCUAACGGCAUCAAUAAGGCUUUUCAAGAAUGGGGAAGUUUAAUGAGAGAUUUUUAUGGUAAAGAUUCAUCCUAUAGAAAAUCUGAUAUGACGAUUAACUAUCUUGGAUUUUGGACUGAUAAUGGUGCUUACUAUUACCAUAAAACCGAAGACGGAGAUGACUAUGAACAGACUAUUUAUGAUAUACAAAAAACGGCAAAAGAGCAGGG